rnacentral:rRNA from 1 species
CCUAUGGGGUGCAGCAGGCGCGUAACCUCCGCAAUGCGGGCAACCGCGACGGGGGGACCCCGAGUGCCGUCGGGGCAAAGCUCCGGCGGCUGUACCGGGGUGUAAAAAGCCCCGGGUAGAAAGCGGCGGGCAAGACCGCUGCCAGCCGCCGCGGUAAUAGCGGCGCCGCAAGUGGUGGCCGCUUUUAUUGGGCCUAAAGGGGCCGUAGCCGGUCCCGUGGGUCCCCGCCGAAAGCCCGCGGCUUAACCGCGGGAGUCGGCGGGGAAACUGCGGGACUUGGGACCGGGAGAGGCCGGAGGUACCCCCGGAGUAGGGGUGAAAUCCUGUCAUCCCGGGGGGACCGCCAGUGGCGAAGGCGUCCGGCUGGAACGGGUCCGACGGUGAGGGCCGAAAGCCGGGGGAGCAAACCGGAUUAGAUACCCGGGUAGUCCCGGCUGUAAACGAUGCGGACUAGGUGUUGGGGCGGCCACGAGCCGCCCCAGUGCCGUAGGGAAGCCGUUAAGUCCGCCGCCUGGGGAGUACGGCCGCAAGGCUGAAACUUAAAGGAAUUGGCGGGGGAGCACCACAACCGGUGGAGCCUGCGGUUUAAUUGGAUUCAACGCCGGAAACCUUACCGGGGGCGACAGCAGGAUGAAGGCCAGGUUGACGACCUUGCCGGACGAGCUGAGAGGAGGUGCAUGGCCGCCGUCAGCUCGUGCCGUGAGGUGUCCUGUUAAGUCAGGUAACGAGCGAGACCCCCACCCGCAGUUGCCAGCGGGCCCCGUAAGGGGCGCCGGGCACUCUGCGGGGAUCGCCGCCGAUAAGGCGGAUGAAAGUGGGGGCGACGGCAGGUCCGUAUGCCCCGAAACCCCCGGGCUACACGCGGGCUACAAUGGCGGGGACAAUGGGAUCCGACCCCGAAAGGGGAAGGAAAUCCCAUAAACCCCGUCGUAGUUCGGAUUGCGGGCUGCAACUCGCCCGCAUGAAGGUGGAAUCGGUAGUAACCGUGCCUCAGAAUGGCACGGUGAAUACGUCCCUGCUCCUUGCACACACCGCCCGUC